rnacentral:rRNA from 1 species
ACGGGUGAGUAACGCGUAUGACAACCUACCUAUCAGGAGGGAACUAACCCGGCGAAAGUCGGACUAAUACCGCAUAAAACAGGGGCACCGCAUGGUGAUAUUUGUUAAAGAAAUUCGCUGAUAGAUGGGCAUGCGUUCCAUUAGGUAGUUGGUGAGGUAACGGCUCACCAAGCCGACGAUGGAUAGGGGAACUGAGAGGUUGGUCCCCCACACUGGUACUGAGACACGGACCAGACUCCUACGGGAGGCAGCAGUGAGGAAUAUUGGUCAAUGGGCGGGAGCCUGAACCAGCCAAGUCGCGUGAAGGAAGAAGGAUCUAUGGUUCGUAAACUUCUUUUGCAGGGGAAUAAAGUGCGGGACGUGUCCUGUUUUGUAUGUACCCUGAGAAUAAGGAUCGGCUAACUUCGUG